GUGUGUGCGUGUGUGUGUAGGGUUUUAUAUAAUGUGUAAUGUGUAUAGUGUUGUCAGUGACAUGGCGUGUUCCUUCAUCCUGACUGCAAACACCGAUCGCCCGUCCAUCAAUGCCGGUGAUCUACCUACCGGUCCUCUUCGGCUUGCCUUUCGCGGGUGCGGUAAACGUUUCCAUGGUAACAGCGAGCUCCACCAAUCAAUGAAGUCGUGUGCUGAAUUACUAGGCCCACAGACCCACAGUCCUGAAGAGGAGCUAGGCUACUUUCGGCUAACGGAAGGCAAAUGCUAACCUCACGAGCUCCCCUCCUGGGCGCACAAUGAUGAAUUUGGAUUUAAACGACUAUUUGGAAUCUGGCGUGUUGCGGUGACUGCGACUGGAUGCCUUGACUCUCUUCAUGGUUACCCGGCCAGCUCUGUGUUCCUUCUCAAGAUUUCCUCCUUGCUAAUUAAGGUUUCCUGAUGAGUUCUGAGGGAGUCUGAUGGACUUCAAUACCCAGAGACACCCCUGGAGAAAGACAAGAAGAGACUAGCAUUGUGAACCGCUCUUCAGUAACAUGCUCUAACAUGAAAUAUUGUACAGAGUUUAAACCCAUAAUGCAAAAUGACAUAAAAUAUCCUAUAGUAUCUGUUCAUCAAUCUCAUAAUUAUCAUAUAUUAUAAUGGUUGACAAUAUUUCCUAAUGGAUUAUUCAAUUGAUUCUAGUUAUUACCUGUGAAGUAAAGUAUACACAGGAGUCUCAUUUCAACUGAUGCUGCCCUUUGCUAUCCAGUAGAAGCUAAGGUAUUGCAAACCAUUGUGUAUGAAGCCAAUAGUUGUGUGAGGCGGAGCAGGAAGUGAUGUCCCCAGACACUGGUAUACCAAUGUUUCGGUAGAGAUAUGAGAGGGAAUUGGCACAUUGCUCUCCUGGGUCUCCUGGGAACAUCUGGCAACCAUUACCAUUGCAUUAGCUUAAGGCAAUAACAUUAUGUAUAUAGGCUAUGUGUCCUUCAAUAAAUAUCGCGAUUAACGCAAUAAUUCUGAUGAUUGAAGUAGAAAUGGUUUCAGUAGGGUAAAUUGCAAUCCGAUCAAAGGUCUGCUAAGUUUCUUGGUUCAUUGGUUUGUGGAUAUGUUUGAUAUGAAUUCUCAAUUACAAAGAGACAUUUCAUCUAUUGUUUACUUUAAAAUUACACUGGUGGAAAUUGUUCUUAAACGUCUACUUCAACUAGAGAAAAGACAUACAAGGAAAGGACACCCACGUACCCCAUUUUAUUUUUAUUUUCAGCCACCAUGUGCCUUGUAUAACAUCUUGCCAAAGGACUUCAGUUGAAAAUUUGCCUGCUGGCUAACACUGGCACAUUUACAGAAAUGUUGAUCAAUGUGCACUGUCCUUUAAAUAAAUAAAUAAAUAAAUGAAAAAUGAAUGGGUCUACGGUAAAUGCUUUAUCGGCAGUAGUUUGGUCAGUAAGAUCUUUCCUUAAAUAAUAAUGUAAUAUUAUGUUGUUUAUGUCCCAAAGUAGGCUAACCAUGUGGGUUUAGUCACUUGGCUCCAGACUGAAGCAUUUCCCAUAGUGAACCAAAGGUUGUGUGUUGUAAAGUCCCUGUUAGUUGGUCAUAUCGUAUUGCGUAUAUAUAUAUAUAAAAUGUGUAUAUUGUUAUUUCUAUUCAGGCACCUGAGACAGCCCAGGUAGCUCCGUAGGGUCCUAGAGUUUUACUAGGUGAGCGGGGCUACGUCAAAGCUUGUUGCUCCGCGAUUGCAUAACCCGCCAUGACAGAGAAUGCGUUCGUGAAGACACUCCCACUAAUUGCCAUUCCUUUUUCGGGUUUUGCAUCCUCCAAUAAUAUGUACCCCAGGAACUGGAGCUGUUUAUCGUUGCGUUUUUGCUUAUACCAGAGUAUUCGGUUGUAGUCCUGAAUGCUGUGGGAGCAUUUCAGUGGGGCCAUUGCUCUUGACUCAAUGGCCACAACCAUCUCGGGCGGAGUUUGGUGAACCUUGUCGCUAUUAGAUGCACCUAUGGAGAAAAUAAGAACCAAAGAGGCAAAAUUGAAAUGUGGGGACUGAUACAGUCAUUAGUAUUCAGAUGUGGAGGAUCUGCUUUAGUCGUGGAGAACUAGUCACAAAUGUAACAUUGUAGAAUGUCCAACAAUGAAGCCAAAUAAGAUGGCAUUUAAGGAAAGUACCUGAUACGACCGUAAAUGAAAUUGUUAGAGCGAGGAAUGUGAUUGUCAACAUAUUUGUCUCGUGAUCAAUCAAUGCUAGUUAGCUUGUGACUGAUCCUAAUAAACACAACCCUAAUUCAGUACAUUUCCUACGUGCGAUAACCUUUCAACUUGCAUCGUUUUGAUGGCAGUGGCUCCUAUUUCCAUCUCGCAACCAUACCGGAACCCAAGUGUGGGAGGAGCCAUUUUGUGUAAAUGUUUAGAAGAGAGGAAGUGAUGCCAUCAGAAUGUCUAACCGUACAGCACUGAUGUUCACCUAGACUCUGUAUUUGCCAUCCAGUCCCCUCCUCCCACUAUUGUAUGAUGUACGUCCUGGCAACUCAUUUACGCACUUAAUGUACGCACUUACUGUAUGUUGUUUUUAUUCAUAGUAGCUACUUAAUUGUAUAGCAUCUGCAUUAGCUAGCUCACUGCAACAGCGAAUGGGUUAACCUUGCGAUUGUUAGUACUUGUGCUUGGUUUAUGAAAAUCCUUGCUGCACAGACAGCGAUAUAUUGUUUCACUUCUUAUGAAUGUACUUAUUGUAAGUCACUUUGGAUAAAAGUGUCUGCUAAAUGCCCUAAAUGUAAAUGUAAAUGUAUGGUGGUGACAUUUUUUGUAGAGACUGGAACCAGUUGGAUGUAGAAAAAAAUUAUUGCUAACCCCGAAAAGAUCGCUUUCAGUUUUGUUGAGGAAAAUCCCUCAUGUAGUAUGUACAGUAAUGAAGACAAAUCUGACUAAAUCGUGGGAAAGAAGCUGAGACAACCGUAAACUUAAUUAUUUGAAUACAGUAUCUCCUAUUUCCACCUCACAAUCGUACCGAAAUGACAAAUGUGGGAGGAGACAUUUUGUGUAAAUAUUUAGAAGAGAGAAGGUAAUGCUAUCAAAAUGUUAAAAAUGUCAUCCCUGAUCUGUUAAAUUUUCUUUUUUUAUUGUAACUUCAACACAAACAAAUUAAAGAACACCCCCUAGUGCUG